rnacentral:rRNA from 1 species
UGCAGUCGAGCGGAACGAGUUAUCUGAACCUUCGGGGAACGAUAACGGCGUCGAGCGGCGGACGGGUGAGUAAUGCCUAGGAAAUUGCCCUGAUGUGGGGGAUAACCAUUGGAAACGAUGGCUAAUACCGCAUGAUGCCUACGGGCCAAAGAGGGGGACCUUCGGGCCUCUCGCGUCAGGAUAUGCCUAGGUGGGAUUAGCUAGUUGGUGAGGUAAGGGCUCACCAAGGCGACGAUCCCUAGCUGGUCUGAGAGGAUGAUCAGCCACACUGGAACUGAGACACGGUCCAGACUCCUACGGGAGGCAGCAGUGGGGAAUAUUGCACAAUGGGCGCAAGCCUGAUGCAGCCAUGCCGCGUGUGUGAAGAAGGCCUUCGGGUUGUAAAGCACUUUCAGUCGUGAGGAAGGUGGUGUAGUUAAUAGCUGCAUUAUUUGACGUUAGCGACAGAAGAAGCACCGGCUAACUCCGUGCCAGCAGCCGCGGUAAUACGGAGGGUGCGAGCGUUAAUCGGAAUUACUGGGCGUAAAGCGCAUGCAGGUGGUUUGUUAAGUCAGAUGUGAAAGCCCGGGGCUCAACCUCGGAAUAGCAUUUGAAACUGGCAGACUAGAGUACUGUAGAGGGGGGGUAGAAUUUCAGUGUAGCGGUGAAAUGCGUAGAGAUCUGAAGGAAUACCGGUGGCGAAGGCGGCCCCCUGGACAGAUACUGACACUCAGAUGCGAAAGCGUGGGGAGCAAACAGGAUUAGAUACCCUGGUAGUCCACGCCGUAAACGAUGUCUACUUGGAGGUUGUGGCCUUGAGCCGUGGCUUUCGGAGCUAACGCGUUAAGUAGACCGCCUGGGGAGUACGGUCGCAGAUUAAACUCAAUGAUUGACGGGGCCCGCACAGCGUGAGCAUGUGGUUUAUCGAUGCACCCGAAACUACUACUCU